rnacentral:rRNA from 1 species
AUGGAAAAUUUAAUGAACCUUAUCACUUAGAGGAAGGAGAAGUCCUAACAAGGUUUCUGUAGGUGAACCUGCGGAAGGAUCAU